rnacentral:tRNA from 1 species
GUCCAAGGAAGGGAAUCGAACCCACAGUGUUCCGCUUACCGGGCAGAUGCCAUGUCCACUAGGCUACCCUGGA